rnacentral:rRNA from 1 species
UGAGGAAUAUUGGUCAAUGGGCGCGAGCCUGAACCAGCCAAGUAGCGUGAAGGAUGAAGGUCCUACGGAUUGUAAACUUCUUUUAUAAGGGAAUAAAGUCACCCACGUGUGGGUGUUUGUAUGUACCUUAUGAAUAAGCAUCGGCUAACUCCGUGCCAGCAGCCGCGGUAAUACGGAGGAUGCGAGCGUUAUCCGGAUUUAUUGGGUUUAAAGGGAGCGUAGACGGGUCGUUAAGUCAGCUGUGAAAGUUUGGGGCUCAACCUUAAAAUUGCAGUUGAUACUGGCGUCCUUGAGUACGGUUGAGGCAGGCGGAAUUCGUGGUGUAGCGGUGAAAUGCUUAGAUAUCACGAAGAACCCCGAUUGCGAAGGCAGCCUGCUAAACCGCCACUGACGUUGAGGCUCGAAAGUGUGGGUAUCAAACAGGAUUAGAUACCCUGGUAGUCCACACGGUAAACGAUGGAUACUCGCUGUUGGCGAUAGACUGUCAGCGGCUUAGCGAAAGCGUUAAGUAUCCCACCUGGGGAGUACGCCGGCAACGGUGAAACUCAAAGGAAUUGACGGGGGCCCGCACAAGCGGAGGAACAUGUGGUUUAAUUCGAUGAUACGCGAGGAACCUUACCCGGGCUUGAAUUGCAGACGAAUUGCUUGGAAACAGGCAAGCCGCAAGGCGUCUGUGAAGGUGCUGCAUGGUUGUCGUCAGCUCGUGCCGUGAGGUGUCGGCUUAAGUGCCAUAACGAGCGCAACCCUCGUGUCCAGUUACUAGCAGGUUAUGCUGAGGACUCUGGACAGACUGCCAUCGUAAGAUGUGAGGAAGGUGGGGAUGACGUCAAAUCAGCACGGCCCUUACGUCCGGGGCUACACACGUGUUACAAUGGGGGGUACAGCAGGCAGCUACCGGGCGACCGGAUGCCAAUCCCGAAAGCCUCUCUCAGUUCGGACUGGAGUCUGUAACCCGACUCCACGAAGCUGGAUUCGCUAGUAAUCGCGCAUCAGCCACGGCGCGGUGAAUACGUUCCC